AGUGAACGCUGGCGGUAGGCCUAACACAUGCAAGUCGAACGGCAGCACAGUAAGAGCUUGCUCUUACGGGUGGCGAGUGGCGGACGGGUGAGGAAUACAUCGGAAUCUACUUUUUCGUGGGGGAUAACGUAGGGAAACUUACGCUAAUACCGCAUACGACCUACGGGUGAAAGCAGGGGAUCUUCGGACCUUGCGCGAUUGAAUGAGCCGAUGUCGGAUUAGCUAGUUGGCGGGGUAAAGGCCCACCAAGGCGACGAUCCGUAGCUAGUCUGAGAGGAUGAUCAGCCACACUGGAACUGAGACACGGUCCAGACUCCUACGGGAGGCAGCAGUGGGGAAUAUUGGACAAUGGGCGCAAGCCUGAUCCAGCCAUGCCGCGUGGGUGAAGAAGGCCUUCGGGUUGUAAAGCCCUUUUGUUGGGAAAGAAAAGCAGCAGGUUAAUACCCCGCUGUUCUGACGGUACCCAAAGAAUAAGCACCGGCUAACUUCGUG
rnacentral:rRNA from 1 species